rnacentral:misc_RNA from 1 species
AUUAGAAACUAAGGUCUUCAGCUCAGAUUGAGUUCUCGUGUUGGUCUUUCUUUUUCUUUAAAAAAAAAAAAAAAGCCAACUAAGGCAUACUAAGUAGAUCAGAGCCAAACUACUUAGGAAAAUAGAAAAUUGCCACUAUAUCAAACAUCAGAAGAAACCAACAUCCAUUAAAGCCCGAUAAAAUCUAUAAAAUUAAAGAAACACACAUGAUUUUGAUAUUAUAGAAUAAAGGGUAUGAACCACAUAUAGAUGUUAUGUUUGGCAAAAAACACCAAAGCAAUCAGACUUGUCCUUGGGCUUGAGCGUCUGGACUGAAACAGAGGCGUGAACUUUACUGCAAAACAAAAAAUAAUAAUUAUAAAAGUUCAUUUGCUUAUUUAUUGGCCAAGAAUAGAAUUCAAUUAAUAAAAGAGCUAAGUGUCUACAACUUUAGAAAGCAAGCAAAAGAACUCGGAAAUAGAGAUAUCGAUAUAGAAAUACCACAGAGAAUAAAUUCACAGAGCGGUAGAGGGAGAAAUUCACAACAUUCUUUACGGACUUAACAAUGCUGAGGGAGGUGGAUGACUCGUAGCUUUCUCCAACAGCCUUCACAACAACAGCCACAAUAUUCUGUCUCUUUGCAAUGCAAGAUCAUCAAGGGUAUAGAAAAAAAGAAUAACAAUAAAUCAGGGAAGUCAAGCAUGGAUGGAAAUGGAAUUUAAUCUAGGUGCCUAUCUACCCUAUUUCACUUGCAUAUUCAAAGAUACACAAUUCUUAAAGCAUGAAUACACUCCUGAAAAAUUAUUCCAUUGCUACAAUUAUCAAUCACAAUCGCGAAACUUCGACACCAACACCAAUCAAUUUCUGCAUUCCAAAUUUAUAGAAAGUUCCUUAAAUUGAACAUGAAGUUGAAAAAUAUAACUCAUUCUGGAAAUAAGAAGUUACCCAUCAUUUUUACUUCAAAAAGUCAUAGAUGGUCUUCAUAGUUCUUGUAGGCUGCCUUUUCAAUUUCGAAUCAUCACAGUCCAUGUGCUCAAUCCCUAUUUUGUUCAUCACCAAAAAUGGAAUCCUUCUCAGAUUAAACCCAGCUGUUGAAUCACCACUAAUACCGUUCUUAAUCUCCGCAUGAACCCUAACUCCUCACCGAAAUUUAGCGCCGCUUGGCUCCACACAGCCACAGGUAGCUUCGUACUUUCCGUCACUUCCACGGCAAAGAAAGCCCUAGCAAUCGCCCUCGCAGUAGGUGGCGGCAUUCUCCUCCCCGAAAUUCCGUUCAUCACCCCUACUCUGCCUCUGUUUAUCACCGCAUCACUCUUCUCACCCUCUCACCUGUCCUCACUCCCCCCACUCAUGAUAACGCGCAGACCUUACAUCUCAAGCAAAGAAUUCACCGGAUUUCAUCUUAUCUCUGAAUCUCUCAGAGAUAAGAAGGA